ACGCUCGACACCUAGGAGGCAGCAGUGGGGAAUAUUGGGCAAUGGGCGAAAGCCUGACCCAGCAACGCCGCGUGAGGGAAGAAGGUUUUCGGAUUGUAAACCUCUGUCCUCAGGGACGAAGGACGUGACGGUACCUGAGGAGGAAGCCCCGGCUAACUACGUGCCGGCAGCCGCGGUAAUCUGAGCGGGCUGGCAAGGC
rnacentral:rRNA from 1 species